GAGCGUUCCCUUCCGUUAGCCAAUCAGAACUCAGAGAGGAGGCUGCGCUUCAGUUCUAUUUGUUAGAACGGAAAAAGCCGUUGUGCUUUAAAGAGACACGGAUAUGUGAAUUUCUGUGAAAAUUAGCAGCUAGCUGAACAUUCUACACCCCUACAUUGCCAUAUGGAAAAAUGUGCUAAACCCGAGGCAAAUCCAAACUGUACGGUCACAUGCAGUCUUGUGACUCCUCAGUGCCAUCCUCAGCAUCCAGCUGCAGAGUUGCUAAUGCUUUGACUUAAGUAGUCUUUAAAGGGACCUUUUGUUGUGUUGCACUGAAGAAAACAGAAGUGGACAAGAUUCUGAGUGCUUGACUAUUGAGGGGCCUAUUCAAAGACUUUUUUUGCAUCAUUUCUUAUUUUCAGACAUGGUAAUUUAGCAGGUUGUCUGGUGCCUGCAUCAGGUGCGUGUCUGACUGAUGUUUAAAUUUCGAUAUGAUUGCAGAUCAAGACCGUACCUACACAACUUUACAGUGCAGAGUUUGAAAGAAUUGCAAUUAAUGAGUGGCCAGUGUUUUACUAGCAAUUUGACACCAGCACCAACACUUUUUCAGUCUGAUCUUGUUGCAGUAGAGGGCAAUGAUAGUCUCCGUCAAGCAUCCAAAUGAUCAGUGUACUCUCACACAUAUUGGUGCUUCAACUAUAUUUGCUCCAUGCUCUUUUUACAAGUCGAAUAUUUUUUUAAUUAAGAUUUAUUUGAAAAGGGUCAAUUUAAAACAAUUUGUUGUGGAUCUCUGGUGUACCAGUAAGUUUUACACUUUAGAAUUGGCUUAUUAAGCUUGGGGGACCACAACCUUAUUGUUUUCAAAGAAAAGCACAAAAAGAAAAAAGUAAAGAGAAAAAAAAGGAGAAAAGAAAAAAACUUCUAGCACAAAAAAGCCUUUUACCUAUACCUAUACCUCUUUCUUUUCACCUCAUAACCUAAUCCACCAAGUCGGCUCUACAACAAACUCAGAGUUUUCAUAAGAUUUUAAAUAAAAUGUUAUAAAAUUUGUUUUCAUUGACACUGUGGUAAAAUGUUUUUUUUUAUUUUUUUUAUUUGAUUAUCUAAUGGACUUUUUAAUAAUUAAAAAUUCACACCCACACAUCAAUAACAUGCCUUGUUCAUUCACUUGUUCACUGUUCUUUUGUUGUGUUGCUCUGGAAAAACAAAAACAUUUGAC